UCACGCCUUGAGAACAUGGUCAAAGCAGCUGGAGGGGGGAAGGGAAGGAAAAAUCGCCUGGUUUGGGGCUAUUAAUAGGGCUUUGCCUAGCAGGGGAGAAAUUGUAUCUUGUCAGAAGCGCCCUAGUUUAACAGUUCGACAAAUAAUUACUGCAGCUACUUAUUAUCAAAAGACCACAGGGAAAUCAGGACUUUGUCAACGGUUCCGUAUUCCCAAACUGAAACACAUUAAAGCCCUCUCAGGAGGAGUUCCUGUAAGCAAUUACAAUGAAGACACUGACAGUCAUCAGUUGAGGCGCCUUUGUUAUUUAGGUUACAUUUCUACCAGCAAUACCUACAAUUGGUCCUUGAGUAUAGGUCAUCCUAUGGAAUUUGAAUAAGCAGAAUAGGAAGACCGUUGAUCCUUUUGAACUUUGGUAUUGGAGAAGACUCCUGAGAAUACCAUAGACAGCCAAGAAAACAAAACAACAAAUCAUUAAACAAAUCAACCCUGAGUUCUCAAUUGAGGCACAAAUGAUCAGUCUCAAAUUAUCCUACUUAUGCAAAGACUUAUCCCUCUGGGAAAGCUCUAAUGCUGGAAAGGUGAAAGGAAAAAGAAGAGGAUGACCAGCAGAAGAUGGACGGACUUAAUUAUAGUGGUGAUGAAUGCACCAUUGAAAGGCAUGAAAGACCUAGUUAAGGUCAGAUUGUUAUGGAGAAAAUUUACCUAUGCGGUUGCUAAGUCUUGAUACUGACUUGAUCAUAUAUUCAGUAAUAUAUCAGCUGAUCACAACAAUUAUAAUGCUGGGGGUUUUUUUUAUUAAAUUACUUUGAUUUUUUUUAAAAGCAGCCCAAUAAACAGAAAUUAAACCA